rnacentral:rRNA from 1 species
UAGCGGCGAGCGAACGGGGAGCAGCCCGGAGUCUGAAUCAGCUUGUGUGUUAGUGGAACGGUCUGGAAAGUCCGACGGUACAGGGUGAUAGUCCCGUACACGAAAAUGCACAUGCUGUGAACUCGAAGAGUAGGGCGGGACACGUGGUAUCCUGUCUGAAUAUGGGGGGACCAUCCUCCAAGGCUAAAUACUCCUGACUGACCGAUAGUGAACCAGUACCGUG